CUGAGCUGUGCCAAGCUGUGCUGAGUCAAGCUGUGCUGAGCUGAGCUGUGCCUUAGAGCUGUGCUGUGCUGAACUGAACUCACCUGUUCUGAACUGUGCCGAGCCGUGCCGAGCUGUGCCAUCCACCUGCACAGACGGUGUCCCUGGUGCCAUCCCAGCCCUGUGGCCGUGUCCCAUGGCUGUGACAG